rnacentral:rRNA from 1 species
GACGAACGCUGGCGGCGUGCUUAACACAUGCAAGUCGAACGGAAAGGCCCUGCUUUUGUGGGGUGCUCGAGUGGCGAACGGGUGAGUAACACGUGAGUAACCUGCCCUUGACUUUGGGAUAACUUCAGGAAACUGGGGCUAAUACCGGAUAGGAGCUCCUGCUGCAUGGUGGGGGUUGGAAAGUUUCGGCGGUUGGGGAUGGACUCGCGGCUUAUCAGCUUGUUGGUGGGGUAGUGGCUUACCAAGGCUUUGACGGGUAGCCGGCCUGAGAGGGUGACCGGGGUCAAUGGGACUGAGGUAGGGACCAGGGGGGUAUGUGGGGCAGCAGGGGGGAAUAUGGCACAAGGGGCGGGAGCCUGAGGAGGAGGCGCCGGGUGUGGGAUGAAGGGCUUGGGGUGGGAAAGCGCAGUAGCAUAUGACGAAGCGGGAGUGACGGUAAUGGGUAAAGAAGCACCGGCUAACUACGUG